rnacentral:rRNA from 1 species
GACGAACGCUGGCGGCGUGCUUAACACAUGCAAGUCGAACGGAAAGGCCUCUUUCGGGGGGUACUCGAGUGGCGAACGGGUGAGUAACACGUGAGUAACCUGCCCUUUACUUUGGGUUAACUUCAGGAAACUGGGGCUAAUACCGGAUAGGAGCUCCUGCUGCAUGGUGGGGGUUGGAAAGUUUCGGCGGUUGGGGGUGGACUCGCGGGUUAUCAGCUUGUUUGUGGGGUAGUGGCUUACCAAGGCUUUGACGGGUAGCCGGCCUGAGGGGGUGAACGGCCACAUUGGGACUGAGAGACGGCCCAGACACCGACGGGAGGCAGCAGGGGGGAAUAUUGAACAAUGGGUGGAAGCCUGAUGCAGCAACGCCGUGUGCGGGAUGACGGCCUUCGGGUUGUAAACCGCUUUCGCUCAUGACGAAGCUUUGUGUGACGGUAGUGGGUAAAGAAGCACCGGCUAACUACGUG